AAAGGUACUCAAGGGCGCUAAAUGGAUGCCUAGGCGUGUAUUACCGACGAAGGACGUGGAAGACUGCGAUAAGCUUCGGGAAGCUGUCAACAAGCUUUGAUCCGGAGAUCUCCGAAUGGGGAAACCCAGCAUGAGUCAUGUCAUGUUGCCACUUGCUGAACACAUAGGCAAGCGAGCGGGAACCAUCUGAACUGAAACAUCUUAGUAGGAUGAGGAAGAGAAAGUAAAUAACGAUUGCGAAAGUAGUGGCGAGCGAAAUCGCAACAGCCCAAACCUUUUAAGUUUUUGCCUAUUAAUUUAGGCAAAUAAGUUGAUAGACGAAUACUUAUAAGGGGUUGUGAUAUUACAUAUGACCAAGUCAGAGAAUUUGAUUCAUUCAAAUAAUCUGAUUUGCGAUAACUGGCUAUCAACAGUUAGUAAGGUAAGAAAUCGGCGUGGUUAGUAGAAUAGUUUGAAUGACUAGCCAAAGAACGUGAAAGCCGUGUAUAUGAAAACGACGCUGACCUUAUGUAUGUUUUAUCGAGUAGGACGGGGCACGAGAAACCCUGUUUGAAUCUGGCUGGACCACCAGCCAAGGCUAAAUAUAAUAUACGAUCGAUAGUGAACUAGUACAGUGAUGGAAAGGUGAAAAGAACCCCGGGAGGGGAGUGAAAUAGAUCCUGAAAUUUAGUGCCUACAAGGAGUCGGAGCCGGCUUGUCCGGUGACGGCGUGCUUUUUGUAGAACGAUCCAGCGAGUUAAUUUUUACAGCGAGGUUAAGUCAAUUGACGGAGCCACAGUGAAAGCGAGCCUGAAUAGGGCGAUUAAGUUGUAAGGAUUAGACCCGAAACCGGGUGACCUAACCAUGAGCAGGUUGAAGCCACUGUAACAGGUGGUGGAGGACCGAACCAGGAUACGCAGCAAAGUGUUUGGAUGACUUGUGGUUAGCGGUGAAAUGCCAAUCGAACUCGGAGAUAGCUGGUUCUCCUCGAAAUAGCUUUAGGGCUAGCGUCGUGUUAGUAGCACAUGGGGGUAGAGCUCUGUAAAGGACUGGGGCGGGCAACUGUACCCACCCUUAACAAACUACGAAUACCAUGUGUGUAAUCACGGCAGUUAGAACAUCGGUGCUAAGAUCGGUGCUCAAAAGGGAAACAGCCCAGACCAUCAUCUAAGGUCCCUAAAUUAACGUUCAGUGGGAAACAAGGUGAGAUUUCUUAAACAGCUAGGAUGUUGGCUUAGAAGCAGCCAUUCAUUUAAAGAGUGCGUAACAGCUCACUAGUCAAGAGAUCUUGCGUGGAAAAUGUAACGGGGCUAAAACGUUAUACCGAAGAUAUGGAUGUCAGAUUUAUCUGGCGUGGUAGAGGAGCGUUCCUAUCAGCAGUGAAGUCGAAUCGGAAGGUUCGGUGGAGCGGUAGGAAGUGAGAAUGCUGGAAUGAGUAACCAUAAGAGAGGUGAGAAUCCUCUCGGCCGUAAGAGCAAGGUUUCCUGAGCCAUGGUAAUCAUCUCAGGGUUAGUCGGGCCUAAGCCGAGGCGCAGAGCGUAGGCGAUGGACAUCAGGUUAAUAUUCCUGAACCGGUUAAGUUUUGUACACUGUUCACGGGGAAGUAAUCGAAGCGGAUUCAUGGUUUAUCCGUCCAACCGAGCGGGAACGCAAAGGGAGUGAAAGUGAUUCUUCGGAGUCGCGAUUUUGGUGAAAGCCCUGGCUAGAAAAGCAGGUGUACGCGUGGACUUAGCCGCCCGUACCGCAAACCAACACAGGUGCUCGAGUCGAGUAGACUCAGGCUUACGAGCGAACCUUCGCUAAGGAACUCGGCAAUACAGCGACCGUAACUUCGGGAUAAGGUCUGCCCCCACUUCGGUGGAUAUCAGCCGCGUUCACUCAGUGAAUAUUAGGUUAAAGAGUACAUUUUUAAUCACAAAACGAAUUUUCUGAGAUAGAGCAAACGAAUUGUUCUUUUGAACGCGAACCUCUGACGUCUAACGAUGUGGGGGCCGCAGCAAAAGAGCCCACGGAACUGUUUAUCAAAAACACAGGUCUCUGCUAACACGAAAGUGGAUGUAUAGGGGCUGACUCCUGCCCAAUGCUGGAAGGUUAAGGGGAGCGCUUCACGGUGCGAACUGAAGCCCUAGUCAAUGGCGGCGGUAACUAUAACCGUCCUAAGGUAGCGAAAUUCCUUGUCAGGUAAGUUCUGACCCGCACGAAUGGAGUAAUCAUGUGGGCACUGUCUC
rnacentral:rRNA from 1 species